rnacentral:rRNA from 1 species
GACGAACGCUGGCGGCGUGCUUAACACAUGCGAGUCGAACGGAAAGGCCCUGCUUUUGUGGGGUGCUCGAGUGGCGAACGGGCGAGUAACACGUGAGUAACCUGCCCUUGACUUUGGGAUAACUUCAGGAAACUGGGGCUAAUACCGGAUAGGAGCUCCUGCUGCAUGGUGGGGGUUGGAAAGUUUCGGCGGUUGGGGAUGGACUCGCGGCUUAUCAGCUUGUUGGUGGGGUAGUGGCUUACCAAGGCUUUGACGGGUAGCCGGCCUGAGAGGGUGACCGGCCACAUUGGGACUGAGAUACGGCCCAGACUCCUACGGGAGGCAGCAGUGGGGAAUAUUGCACAAUGGGCGGAAGCCUGAUGCAGCAACGCCGCGUGCGGGAUGACGGCCUUCGGGUUGUAAACCGCUUUCGCCUGUGACGAAGCGUGAGUGACGGUAAUGGGUAAAGAAGCACCGGCUAACUACGUG